UGAGGCUGCGCCCCGCCUUUUCUCGCCUCCAGCUCCACCCCCGGGCUCUGCACACGUCACGUCCAGCCCGGCUGGCGAUUGGCUCAGAGACUGCUUCCCAGCUGUGGGGGCGGGGCCGGGGCCGUGCUGGGCGCCGAUUGGCCUCCGGAGGCGGAGGCUGGAAGCCCUUCCAGGGCGCACACCGGCUGCCGCUGGACCCCGGGCCUGGGCCUCCGUCCCCGCUGCCGGGUCCCCUGGCCCUCGGUCUGGGCCGCGAGGUGGCGGCCGCGCCGGAGCUGAGGGUGGGCCCAGAGCUGUGUUGCCGCAAAUACGUCCGAGUCUGCAGACAGAAGUGGCUUGAGAACAGUCCAUCCUGGAGCAAGAUUCCUGUCCCAGAUGUGAGGUGGGCGCGCAGACUACAGAGAAGGCGGGGACCGUGCCCACUGGCAGAGGUCAGACGGGGAUGGCCUCACUCCGGCAGCCACAUCAGGUAAUUGCGAAAUGCACUGCGAAUGCCCCAGCCGUGGAGGCUUUCAUGACACCAAGGACUCCCCUGCCUCUUCUGUGUUCUGUGUCCUCGAUGCUCCACCAGAGGGAGGCACUGUGCCGGGGCCAGGAGGAGAGCUGCCAUGGACACAGCAAACAUUCUCCUCCAGCCACGAUGGGCACUGCUGCUAUGGCCUGAUCCCUGCAGUUCAAACAGCAUCUGUGGAGUUCCUGAAGAAGGCUUCCUUUCCUGGCUCUGGAAACCUUUUUCUGCAGCCCAGCUCCAGGACGCUGGCCUUGCAGUGAUGGCCCGUGCUGUUACAAGAGAAGGAGCCCAGCAUGGCCUGUGGAGGCGAGGACGGCCUGGAGGAGGCCCUGCUGCCCUCAGUGACACCCUCGUCAGCUCCUCCUCUCGGACGAAACCCACAAGGCCACGAGUUUGACUUGCUUGCGACUGGCAGCGACCUCACUGGACUCCUGCACGUGUGCCCAGAAGCCGCCAAUCGGGAUGCAGCACCUUGUCCUGUUAGCAACUUUCCGAAUUGCCUGGACUUCAAGCCCCUGUUAUGGUGAAUCCCAGAGCUACUAGAAUUAGUAGAUACUUUCUCAGUCCCAGCAGCUUCGCUGCCUUAGCAACCACCUUCACUAAAUUGCUCCUUCAGGGGCUUCACAGGUGAAACUUCUAAUCUGCAGACUGGAACACUUUGCCUUUCAAAUCGCCUGUUCUUCUAAACUGCUGCCUGGGUUGUUUAGCAACAUUUAUUUCUGCUUCUCUGGGGCGGAUCGUCAUCGGCUUUCCCCAACUCGUUUUGGGUUUUAUGGGCCUUAAUGCAUACACUAGAGGCCCUGUGCACGAAAUUCCUGCAGGGGGUCGGGGGAGGGGUUGUCCCUCAGUCCUGCCUCUUGCAAUCCUGGGAAACCCUCUUGCAAUCCAG